GUCCACGCCGUAAACGAUGAAUACUAGGUGUAGGGGUUGUCAUGACCUCUGUGCCGCCGCUAACGCAUUAAGUAUUCCGCCUGGGGAGUACGGUCGCAAGAUUAAAACUCAAAGGAAUUGACGGGGGCCCGCACAAGCAGCGGAGCAUGUGGUUUAAUUCGAAGCAACGCGAAGAACCUUACCUAGACUUGACAUCUCCUGAAUUACCUUUAAUCGGGGAAGUCCCUUCGGGGACAGGAAGACAGGUGGUGCAUGGUUGUCGU
rnacentral:rRNA from 1 species